UGUGGCCCGGGAGUGUCCCCGCGCCGAAGUGUGAGCUGGGAGGAGCCAGCCGUGCGCCUUCGGCCCGCCCCGCGGGUUGAGGCGCGCGGUGGUGUGGAGUCCUAUGGACCCCACACUCGAUCUGCAGUCUGAGAUGGAGGAGUGGAUGGCCAACUCAGAGACAUGUCUAUCUGCAGUCUACUUGCUAAUGAUGUCAGAAGAUAAGCGAUGAAAACCUCAUUUGGAAAAAAAAAAAGUUUUGGAAGUUCCACCAAGAUGCCCGAUGGAGUCACCUGACAGAACCAGAAAUAAGAACAGAUAUAAACCGAAUAUUCCUCAUUUCAGAAAAUAAGGAAGUAUGUUAGCUUGAAGAUGAUUGGUAAGAGGCUUAGGUAACGUAAAGCUUUGGACUGACACUAAAUUGAGUUAAUGGAUAUUUAUUGGAUGUUCAGACCAUUUCUAAUCUGAAAUACUCAUUGCUAAACAUCAUUUUAAGUGUAUAUAUUUUUGCUUCUUCAUUUUUGUUUUGUAAUAACAGCUGACAUGUAUUGAGUGCAUAGUUCUAUAACAUUUAUGAGAAUUACUUCAUUCAAUCCUCAAAACAACCUUCUGAAACUGGAACUAUUAGUCUUCUACUUUUUAACUUGCCCAAGGUCACCUAGUUAGUAAGAAGCAGAGUUGGAAGGUGAACCCAGGUAGUCUGACUCUAGAGAAUGUGAUAAACAUAAAGCUGAAUUCUCUUUGGGCAGUCCUACCACUGGCUAGGCUCUUGAAACCCCUUUGUAAGUUUCUCCCCUUGUUUGUUAUGAUAGGCCAUAUAUUUGUUUUUGUUUGUUUGUUUGUUUUUAUUGAGGAAUAACUGACAUAUGACACUGUAUAAGUUUCAGGUAUAUAAAAUAAUGAUUUGAUAUUUGAUAUACUGCAAAAUGAUCACCACCAUAAGUCUAGU